rnacentral:rRNA from 1 species
UGCAGUCGAGCGCUCUCUUCGGAGGGAGCGGCGGACGGGUGAGUAACGCGUGGGAACGUGCCCUUCUCUAUGGAAUAGCCACUGGAAACGGUGAGUAAUACCAUAUACGCCCUUCGGGGGAAAGAUUUAUCGGAGAAGGAUCGGCCCGCGUUAGAUUAGGUAGUUGGUGGGGUAAUGGCCUACCAAGCCUACGAUCUAUAGCUGGUUUUAGAGGAUGAUCAGCCACACUGGGACUGAGACACGGCCCAGACUCCUACGGGAGGCAGCAGUGGGGAAUCUUAGACAAUGGGCGCAAGCCUGAUCUAGCCAUGCCGCGUGAGUGAUGAAGGCCUUAGGGUCGUAAAGCUCUUUCGCCAGAGAUGAUAAUGACAGUAUCUGGUAAAGAAACCCCGGCUAACUCCGUGCCAGCAGCCGCGGUAAUACGGAGGGGGUUAGCGUUGUUCGGAAUUACUGGGCGUAAAGCGCACGUAGGCGGAUUAGAAAGUUGGGGGUGAAAUCCCGGGGCUCAACCUCGGAACGGCCUCCAAAACUCCUAGUCUAGAGUUCGAGAGAGGUGAGUG